GACAGAGGGUGCAAACGUGUUCGGAAUUACUGGGCGUAAAGCGCGUGUAGGCUGCUUCGCAAGUCGGAUGUGAAAGCCCUGGGCUCAACCCAGGAAGUGCAUUCGAAACUGCAGAGCUGGAGCCUGGAGAGGAAGGGCGGAAUUCUCGGUGUAGAGGUGAAAUUCGUAGAUAUCGAGAGGAACACCGGUGGCGAAGGCGGCCUCUGGACAGUCGACGUGACGCUGAGA
rnacentral:rRNA from 1 species